GUCUCUUUGAUUAUUGAUUAUAGGGAGUUUGACCUGCCCGGUGAAAAUUUUAGAUUUAACGGCCGCAGUACUUUGACUGUGCGAAGGUAGCAUAAUUAUUUGCCUUAUAAUUGAAGGCUUGUAUGAAUGGUUUGACGAGAAUAAAUCUGUCUUAUUAUAAUUUUUUUGAAUUUGACUUUUUAGUGAAGAGGCUUAAAUUUUAUUGAUAGACAAGAAGACCCUGUCGAGCUUAAUAUUUUUAUAUAAGUUUUGUAUUUUUAUUUUGUUUGUAGAUUUUAGUUGGGGUGACUGAGGAAUAAUAUUAAUUUCCUUAUUUAUUUUGUGAUUCGUGAAUUUUGAUCCAUUAUUAAUGAUUAAUAAAAUUAGUUACCGCAGGGAUAACAGCAUAAUCUUUUUUAAGAGUUCUUAUUGAAAAAAGGGUUUGUGACCUCGAUGUUGGAUUAAAAUUUCCUAAGGGUGCAGAAGUUUUUUAGGGUUAGUCUGUUCGACUAUUAAAAUUUU
rnacentral:rRNA from 1 species